rnacentral:ncRNA from 1 species
UGUCUCCUCCACUCCUCCUUUUGGUGGAUUCUGAAACCCGAGAUUCAAAUCUCGGGUUUUUUUUU